UCGAGAAUUUUUCUCAAUGGGCGAAAGCCUGAAGGAGCGACGCCGCGUGGGGGAUGAAGGGCUUCGGUCCGUAAACCCCUGUCAUUUGUGAACAAACCUUACCGAUAAAUAGUCGGUGAGCUGAUUGUAACGGAAGAGGAAGGGACGGCUAACUCUGUGCCAGCAGCCGCGGUAAUACAGAGGUCCCAAGCGUUGUUCGGAUUCACUGGGCGUAAAGGGUGCGUAGGCGGUUUGGUAAGUUUGGCGUGAAAGCCCCGGGCCUAACCCGGGAAUGGCGCUGAAAACUGUCGAACUUGAGGAUUGGAGGGGGGACUGGAAUUCUUGGUGUAGCAGUGAAAUGCGUAGAUAUCAAGAGGAACAUCAGUGGCGAAGGCGGGUCCCUGGACAAAUCCUGACGCUGAGGCACGAAAGCUAGGGGAGCAAACAG
rnacentral:rRNA from 1 species